AUCUCUGGCUCCUUUGCAUUUGACCGAGAAAUCUUUCGCAUUUUACUAAAGAUUUCCGUGCAAAAAUGCAUUUUAUGAGUGCACAGGGAUUAUUGGAAUCCCCUCGAAAGAGCGGGAU
rnacentral:snRNA from 1 species